rnacentral:lncRNA from 1 species
UCCACAAAAAAGAAAAAAAUAUAUAAUACUUUAAAAUUUCCCAUUUUAGGUAAUGUCUAUUGAAAUGUUUCUUUUUAUAGGAAAAAGACCCUGGGGCGUUUGGAGAAGAGUUGCUGCGAUUUCCUGUUCUGCAUUAAGGAUGAGUCUAGAUUUACAUCAGGUCCUCAGGUUCAUGAAAUUGAUGGAGCAUUCCUUGGGGGCCAGCUUUCACGAUUGCUCCGGUCUUAGAGGGGUAAGUACUAGAAUUUUAUAUGGGUACAAUACAGUUAUUUACAGCAGUUUGCAUU